AUAGCCUUGCAAAUUUGGAAGCAACGCGGUGGCUCCACGUGGCAAGCAAAGCAUCGUGGAGAUUCCGAUUUGCUUGCGUGGCUUGAUUUUAUUCACUGGGUUCACACUAGGCCAUGUGGGAUAUAUGUGGAUGGAUGGAUGUGCUCUUCUCCACCUGAUUUGAUUCUCUCUCUCUCUCUCUUAUAUCAUCGACCACACCCAACCCAUAAUUUAUCAUCACCAACUCCAACCCUUCCUUUUAUUCAUUUCGCACACGCACUCGCGUAUUUCGGAAACUGCAGUCACGCGCUCUUGUGGGACCCACACCCACGUGGUCUAUGAGUCUAUGGCAUUUUUUGCUUUUUCCAUUGGUUAAUUCCAGUAUUCUCCGCUGCUUCCUCUGGCUACCACACCCCAUGCUCUUGUGGGUGUGUUUUAUUUUAUUUCUUCUUCUUUUUUUUUUCUUAAUAUAAUUAUUAAUUAUUAUUCUGUGUGCGGUGAUGAAGAGGAAACAACGCCGUUUUCGUAAUGAGAAUGGAGUAGUAGUGUAGUACCGAUUCCAAGUCUAGAAUAGCCGUUUUUCAACGUUGGUUCGUCAACUCUUGCUAGUGCACGGAGACUUGAGCUUCGAUUGCCAGGAAAAUUGACGAAUCUACUGAAUUGAAGUAGUAUUAUAUUUGAACUUCCCCAGCUGAUACAACCUUUUUGUCUGUAUGUAUCUAUUGAUCUGUCUUGCAAGUUAAUUAUGCACAUGAUGAAGCAUGAAUGCAUGACUGUAUCAGCAAUUCAGCGAGGACGAUAUAUAUAAUUCAUUCGUUUUGUUUCUCAUA